GACGAACGCUAGCUACAGGCUUAACACAUGCAAGUCGAGGGACCGGCGCACGGGUGAGUAACACGUAUCCAACCUGCCCUUUACUCGGGGAUAGCCUUUCGAAAGAACGAUUAAUACCCGAUAUAAAGGAUGGGGAUGCGUUCCAUUAGGUUGUUGGUGAGGUAACGGCUCACCAGGCCUUCGAUGGCGAGGGGUUCGGAGAGGAAGUCCCCCUGCAUUGGAACUGCGACACAGUCCAAACUCGUACGGGAGGCAGCAGUGAGGAAUAUUGGGCAAUGGGCGCUAGCCUGAACCAGCCAAGUAGCGUGAAGGAUGAAGGCUUAUGAAUCGUAAACUUCUUGUAUAGAAGAAUAGGUAUUAGAUGAAUAAGGAUCGGCUAACUCCGUGCCAGCCGCCGCGGUAAUUC
rnacentral:rRNA from 1 species